GCAGCACAGUGCCCUUUCUCCCGGAGUCAGACGGUGACCCCACUCUAAGGCUGCUGGAAAUAUGCAUCACACGGCUCCGCUGAUUCCACUCUGCUCCACCUGGAAAAGAAUGAACCCUUGUACGAUGCAUUUGCUGAGCUACUGAACACUUCUUUUGAGAGCUGGAGCUUCCUAGGAUGCCAGGACAUGCAUUAUCCAGCCUUCAAAAUGGAGCUGCCCAAAUAGAUAUAGCCAGCCGUGCCCUAAAGAAUGUGUAAGUCAGGAGUUGAUGGACCAAUGAAGCAGCAGUCGCUGAGAGGGGCACAUAGUGAAAGCUGCACGCUCAGAGCAGCUGUGAUGUUGCAAAGGGACCUGACUAACUUCUUUACAAAUGUGCUCUUUCCUCUUGGUCCAUAUAAUAUCUUGUAUCCGUUAUAUGCCCACACGGCCGUACAGUCAUAUGAAGUAACAGUCUGUGGUCCUAAAAAUAUAUGCGCGCCUUGUGAGAGGAGUACAGCGGCGCACUCUGGAGUAAGUUAUUAUUCCACUUAUAAAAUUGUACUUUUUAUUUUUAAUAAAACACAUUAAAUGGUUAAUCCCCUCCA